CGGGGGAUUACACUAGCUGUUAGUACCAGGGAUCCUACCACAGCCCUCCACUUCUGCUACUAGAGUCCCAUGAGUGAGAUCUGUAUCUCCAGAAAGGCAGUUUAAUCACACAGCCAUUUCAUAUGUAUCCAACCACCAUCUACUGAGAGCCUAUCAUGUGCCAGGCAGUGGAGAUACACAGACAAUAGACCAGCCCUGCCUUCAAGGACCCCACAGAGAGGGACACAGUUUGGAUCCUUUGUCCACUGUUUCAAACGAAGAAAAAGCAACUUCGCACACAAUUUCAGACUAGUGGAGAAGACAAGUCUUGGGAAAACAUCGCGCGUUGGUUGAUCUACCAGAGAAUGCGAGAGACGCGAAGAACGGAUUUUGUGCGCGACACCGUUCUCUGGACAUUCACAGUGGCGCGACCCGGACACACAAAGCCCCAGGAUGGACGUGAUGGGAAACAGUUCGCUUGCUUUCAUUUUCAAAUAAAUGUAUAGGGCAUUUUGGCCAUGAUGCUGAUCAUGGCCUUCUUCCGGAAACAUGUGACAGGUGGCAUUCCUGAGAAUGAAUGAAAAAGACUGUGCUCCAGACCCAAAGCUGUGAGCAGUAGGCACUCUGUCCACAACCUCAAUCUGGGAAAAUCACUUCCACAAAGGAUCUUUUAUGAAGAAUGUGAUCUGAUGAGACUUUGGGAGACUGGGGAGCCUCAGGAAAAAUGGCCUUGUCAUAUUUCUUUUGUUCUGCUCGACUUCAGAGUUCUGUCUUGAUUUUGUGAUUCCAUGUUUAAUGUGUGAAAGGAAGCUGAUUGGAAUUUGAAAGCUGGUUGAAGUUGGUAGGUCUUUGACUUCGUUUCUCAGCGUUCCCCUCAUCCUCCCCCUCCCUUUCUACCCAUUGAGAAGCCACAAUAGAGAGGGUCACAAAACUCCUUGGCAGUCACUUCCACCAGGCAGUUUUGCCUAUGUUUGUCACCCAGUGUGCCUCAUGCGUCCCCCCACCUGCUUGCAUGGUGUCCUCUAAACGUUGUUGUGGCUCCAAUUGCACCGCAUUGUGCUGUUAGCUUAGCUGUCUGUGUGUUCUUCCCUACAUUAGACCUUCUUGAGGACAGAAAAUGUUUUGUCUUCUCACUAGGUCCUAGCAUAUGGCACAUGAUAUUUAGUAAAUAAAAAACAUAUUGAGUAGGUGGUAGGGGUGGUCAUUUGUUUACAAAGAUGGCUGCAAUAAUUUUUCCCAUCCUACCCGCCAGUCCAUUUGCAGUGACUCUGCACUCCCCGUUGAGGGGUGGGAGUUAUUCCUUCACUCCUUGAAUCUGGGCUCGGCCAAUGGACGUUAGCAAAUGUGAUGCAAGCGGAAGCUUAAGAGCCGCUUGCACAAAAGGGCUGGCCCCUUUUCGUCUGUGUCCGUAACCCUGAGACUGAGAUGUGAGCAAACCCGAGCAAGUUCCACAGAGGCCAUAUGCAGGAGAACUAAGGACGCCGGACAGCAGGCCGCCUGUAUCCAACUGGCCAACUGUGGACAAGUGGGUGAGGCCACCUUCGACCAUCAGCCCCAUUUAAGAUCCCAGAUGACUACAGACAGAUGAAUGACUCCAGACAAGACCAGCAGAAGAACAGCCCAGAUGAUACCAGCCCAAGUCGCUGACCCACGGAAUCAUGAACAAGCCAAUGAGGAAAUCGAAGCACUGAGAAGUAUGACUGAGACAGCAUUGCUCAUCCAAAGUUCUACCUGCUCUCCCGCAUGUCCCAGCCCCUUGCAGUUGGGUGGGACCGGAGGUGCUGGCAAAGUAAAGCCUGUGCAUGAUUCUCCCACUCUUCUCCUUCCCUGCAUGGUGCCUAGAAGGGUGGUGUCCAGAUGAGGUAAUGCACAGGGUGGUGGAGCUUCCAUCAACCUGGUACUUUGAGAGUAUUUCAGAGCAGAGCCCCCCAUGUCUUCCACCAUCCAUAUUGCAUAUCAGAUAUACAAUGUAAAUAAGAAAGAAAUCUUUAUUGUGCUACCAAUAUUUUGGUGUUUUGUUUUGUUGCUUUGGUUUUAGCUGUAGCACAACCUGGCUACUCUAACAUAUCCAAGUGGGUUUGCAUAACUUACCCAAGGAAUCACAGCUGGUACAUGGCAAAGCCCAAAUUCAAACCCAGCUCCACCUGUGCUCUUUUUUAGAGGCAGUAGUAAAAUAGAGAUAACAUAAAAUUUACCACUUAAACCGUUUUUAAGUGAACAAUUCAGUGGCACGAAGUACAUUCACCAUGUUGUACAACCAUCGCCACUUUUCACUUCCAGAACUUUUUCAUCACACCAAAAAGAAACUAUGUACCCAGUAAACAAUAACUCCCAUUCCUCUUUCCCUCCCCCUCCCCCACCCCGUGACCACUACUCUACUUCCUGUCUCUAUCAAUUUGCCCAUUCUAGGUAACUCAUGUAAAUAGAAUCAUACAAUAUUUGUCCUUUUUGCAAGUAGCUUACUUUAUUUAGCAUGUUUUCAAGGCUCACCCAUGUUGUAUAGUGGCUUGUAUCAGAAUUUCCUUCCUUUUUAUGGUUGAAUGAUAUGCCAUUGUAUGUAAACACCACAUUUUGUCGAUCCAUUUAUCUUUUGAUGGACAUCUGGAUUGUUUCUGCCUUUUG